UACCUAUGCAUGGAUUACACCAUAGUUCC
rnacentral:piRNA from 1 species